rnacentral:RNase_P_RNA from 1 species
GGGGUGGGUCGGGCAAUCGCGGUGCUCAGGCAUCGAGGAAGGUCCGGACUCCGCAGGGCAGGGUAACGGCUAACGGCCGUCCGGCGUCGCGGCACGCACGUGCCGCCAAGCCGAGGAACAGGGCCACAGAGACGAGUCUGCGGCGGGGGCUCUCACGGGCACGGGUACGGCCACUCCGUACUCCAUGGCGGUUCGCCGUCAUGACGCUGCAGGGUGAAACGCGGCAACCUCUACCCGGAGCAACAUCAAAUAGGCAUGCGCAGGCUGUUCGCAGCCGAAAGGGCGGCCCGCCCGAGCAUGCGGGUAGAUGGCAUGAGCGUGUCAGCAAUGGCGCGCCCAGAUGAAUGAUUGCCCGCCGGUCAAACGGCGUACAGAAUCCGGCCUACAGACCCGCCUCACAU